rnacentral:lncRNA from 1 species
CCUCCUUUGGCACUCACGAUGGAUUCUCAUUUUUCUCUUUCCUCUGAUUAUAUAUAUGUAGGACCAAAUGCACAGUAGACACAGUGCAGCCCUCGUCCACCCAUCAAUGGCUACUUAGCUUUUUCAGCUACCCCAAUGGACCCACCUCCCCAUUACGGCUGCUCCUCCCCUCACCGGCAACGCGUGCUCCCAUGUCACUCUCUCUCAAGGCCCUUCACUUUGUUCUAAAUUCUAGUGGUGCAUUAUUUUAGAUUCUUCAAAGAAAGAGAGAGAGAAAAACAGUAAUGAGUUCUCAUAUAAGGCCUACAUGCAUGUGAAGUUGAUCAUAUUUCUUGAUAAGCACGAGCAGACAUGGAUUUAAUUUUUUUUCUUUUCUUUUUUGUUUCAAGUAUAUUUUGUCUCUUUAUAUUAUACUACACAUGACUAAUAUCUAUAUAAUUAUUCGUAAUCAGAUCCAAUUUUAUGGUCGAAACAUAACAGUGACAAAGAAAUCCAGCUCAUUCUCUCUGUCCAAGCAGAAAGAAAAGAGAUCUAGGUUACCUAUAUCCAAAUCAUACAUAUUUCUUGAGGGAUUCAUAAGCAAGUACAUUUAAUCUGUACCGUAUAUUUCUUGGAUAAUUUUCAUUUAUUUCUUAGUAGAUUUUCUUGGUUCCUCCUGCUCACAUGCCCUAGUUACUGCUAUAAUCAUUAUCAUAUGCUGAGGCAUAUUAAUUAG